AUUUUGUUAAGUAUAUUUAUCUUUUCUUUUUUUUUCAGAAAAAAAUAAAACAGUAACCAAACUGAUUAUAUCACUCAAAUUUGAGGGUAAGAUAUAUAGCUUUAUAAUACUGUUUACACACAACUUAAGUGUUAAGCCUCUGUUAAAAGAUGUGUUCUUUACAAACAUACUUGCAAUAGGUAUUCCCUAGUUCUAGCAAUCCCUUAACGAUCAGAUGUCAGACAGUGUUAAAAGUUAAUAUAUUUUGAUCCUAUUACAUUCUCACUCACCAUUUGGAAUAUAACAUAACUUCAAAUUAGCAAAUACUGGUAUUCGAUCUAGAAAAUCAACUCAAAUACUUUUAGAGAAACUUCAAAAUUUUUACAUCCUAUAGCAAGCUUGACUGAUUUUAAGUUACUGUGGUAAAUGGUUAUUUUUAACAUAGUUUCUUUAAAAGUAACCAAAAAUAUCAAUCACUUGAUGCAUUUACUGUUGUUGAAAAAAAAAAGUGAACCAACUGCAUUAUAGUUAACUAGAGAGCAGAAAAAAAAAUAUCAAAAGGCUGAAUUUACCAUAAAGUUGUUUUAAAUCAUGUAUCCUUAAGCUACAUGAAGCAAACAAAGUGCACAGAAAUAUAAAUUAAUAUUUCUGUGGCCUUACUACUAGACAUAAACAGUGCUGAAAGUGGGCACACUAUAGAUAGCAAGCACAAGGCAUUUUUCUCAGUCACUCUAAUAUGUAAACAAGUGGCAUCAAAUAAAAAUACAGGCUUAUGUUCAGUGUUCAUGCAAAAUUACUUACUAGCCAGAUGAGCUGAACUAGUACCACAUAGUAAAUGUUAUCAAUUACUAUGAAUAAUUAUAAGUUAAUUGAUGAUUUUUAUCUUUCAAUUGCAGAUUUCUAGGAGAUCUGUCUUUUGUUAAAUUCAAAACCAAAUGGGAGGUUAAGUAAACCUAAAUAACUUAUUUUUUAUUUACAAAAACUGCCUCUAGUGUGAAUUUUAAUUUAAUUUUAUUGUAUUGUUUUCUUUAUUCUACUUACUUUCUAAUGAUUUAUAUGAUAGCAUUGGAAAAGGACAAUUUAAAGAAUGUGGUUUUACUAUCUCCUCUGUGAAAUACUAUGAUUUUCUAAAAUUUUGUAAAAUUUACUUUUUAAUUUGUUCUUCUUAUACCUACACAGGGGAAAUACACUGAAGCUCUGAGGCAAUUGAAUACUGCCCCAUAUAAUAUGAGAGUGGGAGUACAAAAUAUUGAAACUCAACAUUGUUUGAUAACUAUAAGUUAGUUUGGCAAUAGAAUCCAGAACCAAGAAAUAACUAUUCAAUCUUUCCUUACAGUUGACUUUUGUAGACAUUCCCUGUAUAUAACAUAGAUUUUAGCCCUUCUGAUAUUACAAAAGAAAGGACAAUUUUUUUUCUAAAAAAUUCACAAAUGGAGCCUUUAGAGAGCAAAUGAAAGUAUACAAUAAAACAAUAUCUUUUACUUUUAAAUUGACUAUAUAUAAAAAAGGGCAGUCUUUUAGAAUUUUUGAACAAUAUACUUCUUCCAGGUGGCAAUUCAUAAAUAGUAGUUCAUGUCAGAUGCUGUUGAUAAACAUCUAAGGAAGCCAUGCUGUGCAAUGGAUAUUAAUUAUGGCAACAUUUGAGAAUCAUAUUAAGCUCUGUUCUCCCUACUAAAAAUUGCAAUGUAUAUUUCCAUCAUUGUUUUAUGUAAACUGAAUCAUUGUACUAAAAUUCUGGAGUUGAUAUGAAGUAACUUUAAUGCUGUUUUCAUGAAUAAAAGUCUUUUCUUAUAGG
rnacentral:lncRNA from 1 species